rnacentral:tRNA from 1 species
GCCAGGGUGAUGGAACGGUAGACAUAGGGGACUUAAAAUCCCCAGCUGUAACAAGCGUGUGGGUUCGACUCCCACCCCUGGUA